ensembl:lncRNA
CCCUGCGCCAUCUGAGAUAUGUAAUUGGCUGUGGUGCUUUUGUAACCGCUGGGGUAUUAAUAUUGGAGGAAGCCAGGAAGCUCAGCGGUGUGUUUACUGCUGCGGACAAUUUUGCCUCGAAUAGGGAAGGAAACAGAAGCGAAUAAUGGUCUGACUGCUAAUUAAAGCUACCAUCUAUGUGGUGAGGAGGAUCCGGGCUUCCAUUGCUGAGGGAGAGCAGCUGGAAAAGCCCAUCAUCACACCAUGUAGUGCAAUAGCUGACAUGAGGGCGGGUGGCAAGUCUAGUGGAAACGGCCUACCUGCUGCACUAAACUCAGGACCUGAUGAAGGUGCUGGUGGAGCAGCAGGCUCGGGGACGUCCUCGGAGACAGCCGUGCAGAAAUGUGGCUCCUGACGUUAAAGAUCAGGCUGGACACUGGGACUGUGGUCAACUCGGUGGCACAAUUUAAUUUGUUUUAUGUGCAUUUUUGCAGCACAGGACAGCAUAAUGGUGUCAAUACAAAAAUAUCUAAACUAAGUUAUGUAAUAUGAAGUCAUUAUUUACGUUACUGUGUCUGUGUUGUUCCCAGUAUCCAAUGUCCAGCUCAGGGUGACUCACAUGUUGGCCUUUUUCACAGCGGACAUUUUGACUUCCCACCACCGCAGCAAAAAAAGGUGCAACUAAUAACAAUAAGUAGUGAAUCUUCUGCAUUUGAUUUUGCUGGUGAGCUGCCACGCAAAAUGCUACAGGGCCUUGCUUUUAUAUGUAAAAAUCUAGUGAAGACAUCUAUGCCAUUAAGUGUGUGUGAUUUAGUCAACAUGUAUUCUGUGAGAAAGGCCUGAAUUUAUGUGCUGCAGCAUUUGAAGGUCCGCUCACCAACCUCUCUCCAGGGGCUGAGCAGGUCUGAUGUUUCUGUCGGUACAUCAAUAAAUUUUAAGAAAAUACUGUUGGAGUGAUAUUUAUUUACUUGCAUGAGGCUUAUUAAGAUAAGAUAAGAUAAGAUAAAGUUCUUUAUUUCUCCCCACUCCAGGGGAAAUUUACAUUGUUACAGCAGCUUUAUUUACAAUAUAUACAAGCCAAACUUCGUGUAUUUUUAGAAGG